CGCUGCAAGCGGAUUUACCUACGUGACCGUAUGAAGCAGAGACAUUCGCGGAGUGAGGCGACACUGUUAGGAGAUGGCGUGGCCGCGGCUAGACGGACUUCCGCCAGUUUGACUUCAGGCCUGGCAGCCUGUAAGCGUCAGCGCUCCUUGUGGCGCGGAGGGGAAUAACAGCAGCAAAACCGCUGGAGAACCAUCCCUUCGUCUACUUCCUACAAGGAGGCUGUGCUCCGUGGCCACCAUGAAGCAAGCUGCUUUGCUGCACCACACCCUCGCCCAGGGUGUUUCUUCCUUGGAGCCAGAAACCAUGUACUGAGACUCCUGAAACGAGCCCUUAUCGCCUCUGUGAGGAGUCUGAAGAUCUUUCACCCACCUUCUCAGUUAUCUAAGUCCAAGGAAACCUUGCUCCAGGGACUUGAAAGCCCUGGGCCGGACCUCAAGACCUUCCUUUCUUUGCUGCUUGGCUCCCCUGCAGGGUGGCCAAACCACCGUUUCCUCCUCUGUAAACUCUCCAAUGUGUCUGCCUCUUAGGGCUGUGCUGUGGGGCUGUCCAGAGUUGGUGUAAAAGCAAGAUGGUGCUUUUAAAAGCCAGAAAAAUAGCAGGGUAUAUUGAUGUAUGCCUGUAAUCCCAGCACACCACUCAGGAGGCUGA